UCCCUGGUGGCUCAGACAGUAGAGAAUCUGCCUGCAAUGCAGGAGACCCUGGUUUGAUCCCUGGGUUGGGAA
rnacentral:tRNA from 1 species